rnacentral:rRNA from 1 species
GGUCAAGCUACUAAGGGCAUACGGUGAAUGCCUUGGCACUUUGAGGCGAAGAAGGACGUGGAAAGCUGCGAUAAGCGACGGUGAGGAGCACUCAUCCAUUGAACCGUCGAUCUCCGAAUGGGGGAACCCUUUAUACUGUCGUCUGAAUACAUAGGACGAUAAGAGCCAACCUAGGGAAGUGAACCAUCUCAGUACCUAGAGGAAAAGAAAACAACAGUGAUUCCGUGAGUAGCGGCGAGCGAAAGCGGAACAGCCUAAACCGAUGGGGCUUGCUCCAUCGGGGUCGUGGGACCAGACAUAACGGAUGGGAAUGAUUAGCGGAAGGGUGUGGAAAAGCCCUCCAUAGAGCGUGAUAGACGCGUACGCGAAAAUCUGAACCACCAGUUUGGCACCCGAGUAAUGCGGGACACGAGGAAUCCUGCAUGAAUUUGCCGGGACCAUCCGGUAAGGCUAAAUACUCCAAAGUGACCGAUAGUGAACCAGUACCGUGAGGGAAAGGUGAAAAGAACCCCGGUGAGGGGAGUGAAAUAGUACCUGAAACCGUGUGCCUACAAGCAGUCGGAGCCCAUUAGGGUGACGGCGUGCCUUUUGCAUAAUGAGCCGGCUAGUAGAUGUCACAGGCAAGGUUAAAUGAUAAUUGAGCCGAAGCGAAAGCGAGUCUUAAUAGGGCGAUUUAGUCUGUGGUAUCUGGACGUGAAACGGGAUGAUCUAGGCAUGGGCAGGAUGAAGCGUGGGUAACACCUCGUGGAGGUCCGAACCAGUUAAGGUUGAAAACUUUUUGGAUGACCUGUGCCUAGGGGUGAAAGGCUAAUCAAAUUCCGUGAUAGCUCGUUCUCGCCGAAAUAUCUUUAGGGAUAGCCUCGGAUUUAUCAUCAUGGUGGUAAAGCACUGACUGGACUAGGGGCCUCACAAGGUUACCGAAUUCAAUCAAACUCUGAAUGCCAUGAAUGUCUGUCCGGGAGUCAGACUACGGGUGCUAAGAUUCGUGGUCGAGAGGGAAACAACCCAGACCAACAGCUAAGGUCCCGAAGUAAUAGUUAAGUGGAAAAGGAAGUGGGGAAGCACUGACAGCCAGGAGGUUUGCUUAGAAGCAGCAAUCCUUUAAAGAAAGCGUAAUAGCUCACUGGUCAAGUAGCCCUGCACCGACAAUAUAACGGGGCUUAAACUAUUCACCGAAGCUUUGGAUGUUUUAUAACAUGGUAGGCGAGCAUUCUGUAACUGUGAAGCGUUUCCGUAAGGAGCGUUGGAGUGAUCAGAAAAGACUUUGUCGGCAUUAGUAGCGAUAACGCAUGUGAGAACCAUGCGCACCGAAAACCUAAGGUUUCCUGCGUCAAGUUAAUCUGCGCAGGGUUAGUCUGUACCUAAGGCGAGGCCGAGAGGCGUAGUCGAUGGAGAUCCGGUUAAUAUUCCGGAACCAUGGGUAUGUGAUGUGGGUUGACGCAACAGGGUAGGCAAGACAGCUGAUGGAUGCUGUUGAAGUAAAUAGGCCGUCACUUAGGCAAAUCCGGGUGACACAAGGCUAAAUAUACGGACGAAAGUACAGAGCUUCGGCUCCGGAACAAGUUGCUGACCCCAGUUGCCAGGAAAAUUCCCGUUCAUCUAUACAUACUCCACUGGCAGUACCGCAAACCGACACAGGUAGGUGGGAUGAGAAUUCUAAGGUGCUUGUGAGAACCCUCGUUCAGGAACUCGGCAAAAUGUAUCCGUAACUUCGGGAGAAGGAUAGCCGCGUUCACCAAGAACGCGGUCGCAGAGAAAUGUUCCAGGCGACUGUUUAACAAAAACACAGGUCUCCGCAAAGUUGUAAAGACAACGUAUGGGGGCUGACGCCUGCCCAAUGCUGGAAGGUUAAGAGGAGUGGUUAGUCGUAAGGCGAAGCUGCGAAUCGAAGCCCCAGUGAAUGGCGGCCGUAACUAUGAAUGCACAUUAGGACGGCGCUCGCAAAAGCGAACGCAAGUGUCGUAGUUACGUAAAUAAACUUGGCUAUAUGCUGGAAAAUCCGGUUAGUAUCCGAUGCUACUCGCUCAAAGUUAAUUGAGCAGUGACAAUGCACUCGGUGCGGACGAUCAGCAGGAAAGACAACCAAUGAGCAACAGAGUAGAUCGGGUUCCAUCGGAUAUUGGAUAUUAUCUGGCGGGCUUUGCAGAUGGAGAAGGCAGCUUCAAUGUCUCGUUCAGGCCACGACCGGAUUUUUCGAUUCCAUGGAAAAUAUCGUUAUGUUUUAAUGUUUCCCAGCGUGACAGGGUGAUCUUGGCAUUGUUCAAAAGACAUCUAGGCUGCGGAACAUUGAGAGACCGCGGUGACGGUGUGUGGUACUAUCAGGUGGAUAACCUGAAUGCCAUAUCGCAGCACGUCAUUCCAUUCUUUAACCGUUUUCAGUUUUUAUCGGCAAAGAAGAAGCGGGAUUUCGCAAAAUUCAAACGAAUUGGAGAGUUGAUGAUCGACGGACGGCAUUUGACCGCUGACGGCAUCAAGGAGAUACUUCGAAUUCGUAUGGAUA